rnacentral:tRNA from 1 species
GCCACGGUGGUCUAGCGGUUAGGACGCUGGCCUUGUAAUCCUGGGGUCCCGGGUUCGAUUCCCGGUGGUGCCC